rnacentral:rRNA from 1 species
UGCUCAGGAUGAACGCUGGCGGCGUGCUUAACACAUGCAAGUCGAACGGUGAACACGGAGCUUGCUCUGUGGGAUCAGUGGCGAACGGGUGAGUAACACGUGAGCAACCUGCCCCUGACUCUGGGAUAAGCGCUGGAAACGGCGUCUAAUACUGGAUACGAGUAGCGACCGCAUGGUCAGCUACUGGAAAGAUUUAUUGGUUGGGGAUGGGCUCGCGGCCUAUCAGCUUGUUGGUGAGGUAAUGGCUCACCAAGGCGUCGACGGGUAGCCGGCCUGAGAGGGUGACCGGCCACACUGGGACUGAGACACGGCCCAGACUCCUACGGGAGGCAGCAGUGGGGAAUAUUGCACAAUGGGCGCAAGCCUGAUGCAGCAACGCCGCGUGAGGGAUGACGGCCUUCGGGUUGUAAACCUCUUUUAGCAGGGAAGAAGCGAAAGUGACGGUACCUGCAGAAAAAGCGCCGGCUAACUACGUGCCAGCAGCCGCGGUAAUACGUAGGGCGCAAGCGUUAUCCGGAAUUAUUGGGCGUAAAGAGCUCGUAGGCGGUUUGUCGCGUCUGCUGUGAAAUCCGGAGGCUCAACCUCCGGCCUGCAGUGGGUACGGGCAGACUAGAGUGCGGUAGGGGAGAUUGGAAUUCCUGGUGUAGCGGUGGAAUGCGCAGAUAUCAGGAGGAACACCGAUGGCGAAGGCAGAUCUCUGGGCCGUAACUGACGCUGAGGAGCGAAAGGGUGGGGAGCAAACAGGCUUAGAUACCCUGGUAGUCCACCCCGUAAACGUUGGGAACUAGUUGUGGGGUCCAUUCCACGGAUUCCGUGACGCAGCUAACGCAU